GACGAACGCUGGCGGCGUGCUUAACACAUGCCAGUCGAACGGGCCUUGUCCCCUUUUUUUUUGGGGGUGGGGUUAGUGGCGAACGGGUGAGUAACACGUGAGUAACCUGCCCCUCACUUCUGGAUAACCGCUUGAAAGGGUGGCUAAUACGGGGUGUUCUGGCCUGCUCGCAUGGGUGGGUUUGGAAAGAUUCGACCGGUUUUGGUUGUUUUGGUGGGGGAUGGGCUCGCGGCCUAUCAGCUUGUUGGUGGGGUGAUGGCCUGCCAAGGCUUUGACGGGUAGCCGUGCUGAGAGGGUGGGCGGUCACACUGGGACUGAGACACGGCCCAGACUCCUACGGGAGGCAGCAGUGGGGAAUAUUGCACAAGGGGCGCAAGCCUGAUGCAGCGACGCCGCGUGAGGGAUGGAGGCCUUCGGGUUGUGAACCUCUUUCGCCAGUGAAGAAGGUCCUGCUCUUUGUGGUGGGGUUGACGGUAGCUGGGUUAAUGAAGCGCCGGCUAACUACGUG
rnacentral:rRNA from 1 species